GAUGUAGGUGGCUUUGUAAGUCAGGUGUGAAAGCCCAGGGCUCAACCCUGGAAGUGCAUUUGAUACUGCGAAGCUUGAGUGGUGGAUAGGUAAACAGAAUUCCUGGUGUAGUGGUGAAAUACGUAGAUAUCAGGAGGAAUACCGGAGGCGAAGGCGGUUUACUGGCCACACACUGACACUCAGAUCCGAAAGCAUGGGGAUCAAACA
rnacentral:rRNA from 1 species